ACACAUACAUACAUAAAUGUAAAUACUCAUCCCUUCAUUUAGGUAUACUCAUUCACAUAGGUGCGUGUUGACAAAUAAGCAUGUGUACCUACACAUGCAUUUAAGUAUAGACACACAGGGCAUGCACAACUUUGCUGUAUAACCUAAUGGAGAAUACUGUUUCUCCCAGAGUUGGUGUCCAGAAAUAUCUUGGAGCCUAAGUUUCUAUAAUGCUCUGCGUGCGGGGACUGUGGGUGGGGGGCUGAGACUAAGCAGCAUCCUUGAUCACG
rnacentral:lncRNA from 1 species